GUACGUGAAUUCCUAUUAAUUCAAUAUUUGCGAAGGGAAGCGAAAGGACAAAGAUGCGUUAGGACAGCCGCAGCGUGCGGACAAACAAAAGAUAUCAAGAAUUUCAUUUCUUGGCGGCCGUGGAGGCGGCAAUUGAAGUGAGGAGCUGUAGCUAAGAAGAGGAUGGCCAAAAGACGACAACAGCCAACACUGGAAGAGUUGGGGGAGACACAACGCAUUUGGCUAACAUAAAGAAAAUGCCAGUGAAUUAGCGGGCAGUCAGAGAUGGAGGAGAGCUAGCGGCGACAGAGUUCCAGGACCAAGGAGCAGCAGAUGGCGUCAGUGUCAGCGGCAAGCAUAAGAAAUGUGUCCCAAGCAAUUAGUGUUCCGGCCUUUGGAGCGGAUUCCACUUUCAUUAUGUGGGUUUUUUAAAUUUAACAACUUUGUAAACAAAAGCUAAUCGAUCAAGGGUUUUUAAAAUAAAUUAAACAAGUAAAUGUGAGUUUU
rnacentral:lncRNA from 1 species